UUUGUUUUCUCCUGGAAGAAAGGAGAAAUAAUUUGAAAUAAUAGGUGUGUGUGGUGGGGGAAGGGGGGUAGCAGGUAGCAUUGGCAGAAAUGGAGGUAAACACAUGUUACAAACAUAAUAAAGGUUAAAUAAACAUUUUCACAUGCACUGUCACAUUUAAUCUUCACAAUAGCCCCAGUAAAGCAGAUAUUACUAUUCUCAUUUUACAAAUGAGGAAAUUGAGGCUUAGAGAAAUAGAAUAACUUGUGAAAUUAAAAUAGCUAACAAAUGGAAGAGCUGGGAUUUAAAUUUUAUUUUUGUGGGGCUAGAGUUUGUUCUAGUUCAUAGCUCCACACUACACUGACCCAGGCUUCACAGCUGAUUGCUGCUUGCUCAACUAAGCACUUGGUUCAAUUGUGUCAUCAGGACAUUGGAAAGUAAAGAGUGUUUGCAUUGCAAGUGACAUCUGGCUGACAGGAACUUGGAGAAAUGGGAUACGAAGUGAAUGCUGCAGUUACCACAAGCAUCAUAUUUAUCAAAAGGUUUAAGGUUGGCCUGUCUUUGUUUAACAUAUGAAACUUGGAACAGUGAUGGGGAAGCGCUAUGUUUUGGUGUUGCGUGCAUUUUUUAACUGAGCUUUUUAGUAAAAGAGUAGUCGGAGAAUAAACACUAAUUGUAUUAUU